GCAAAAGGACGUGUAGGAAGGAGUGUCAAGGACCACCUCGUCCCAUCCUUGCACUGUGGGAGGACCAAGUGCCAAAGAAGGACGACUGGGGGCCUGGGAAGUCGAGGGAAGCGUCAGAGCAGAGCAGAGCCCACACAGUGCCGGAGGCUGUAGGAGGGUCACAGGAACUUCAGAAAGGCUUGUUCCCAAGGUACAGCUUCUCUCUGUCAUGGGGCCUAACCUGCAGUCUCACAGAGUGUCAGGAAAAACGUUGUAGCCCCAGAAAGCUUCCAGAGGAACCAGUUGGACAGUCAGAUUGACUGUUCAGCAACAUCACUGUUUCAACAGGGAACGUAAGAAAAGAUGAUGGGGUUGUGAGUAAAGAGGGCAGUUCAGAACACGGUUCGUUUCUCCACUGCGUGGAUACUCAUCUGUGGGCUGCAGGACUGCCACGAGGAGCAGUUUGCUGGGGAAGCACGCCCUCCACCAGCAGAGACCGUAGUGAAA
rnacentral:lncRNA from 1 species